GACGAGGAGAAGGCAGAAGGUGAGCAGAUGGCCUCCAAGAAGUCAUCUAUUUCACAGCUUCCACGAUGAAUAAUAACCUUCCUUUACAACAGAUGGAUCAAACUGGGUUUUAAAAAAACCUGCUGGAAGGAGAGGACUGUGUGACCAUGGACCUUCUGGCACUGCCUGGGUGAAACCUGAGGGGACGAGCACAUGGACACACUUCCUACCAUGUUGAUGCCACACAGCAGGUCCCCAAAGUGACCAGUCUGAGACUCAGUGGAGCAAGAACUUCACCUGAUGUCCACCAUGUCCCUCUGGCCCUGAAUAAAGAGCAGAGGAGAAUUUCCUGGCCUCACCAUGUUCCACCUCUGAAGAGGACACUUAGAAGGACCUUACCCAACAAUGUCUACGAAUGCUUUUCCAAGAGGUUUCUCUUCAUACUGGACUCCAUACUUGGCACAUAAGGACUUCACCAAAGGUUUCACCUUCCAGAAGUUGUGCCGUGGCAUUGUUGGAAACAGGCUUGAAGAGAGAAAGAGAAAACAAACCUGAGGGAACUCCAGAGAAUAACCCCACGGGAGGGGCAUCUCUGGCUGCCUCCUCAUGGGGGCUAAUUAGUAACAGCUUAUCCUCAAGCUCCACAAGCAGAGGAAGGGGUGAGAGGCAGAGAGAGGUGUCUGUGCUUUACAGUCCUCUGUUCCGAGGAGCCUUGUGGAAACUGAAUGCAUUUGUCACCUCUGGAAGCUCAUGGAACAGCAAAGCAGGACACAGAGGAGAAAGCCCAGCCUUGGAUUAUGACAUUCACACAUGAGAGAAGAUCCCCUGCAAUUCCUUGUUUAUUGUCUGGCAAGUUUGGACUCAACUCCUACACCAGUAAAGGUGCCCAUUUCUUUUCAGUGCAAAGAGGGAGCCAAGAGCACCUGGUCUCCCAACCUCAUCUCCUUAGUGACAUAUCUAGAGCUCUACAGAAGUUUUUGGAGCUCCAGGAGUGUUCACACAAGGAGCCUGGAGAACCUGGACUGCUGUGAACCUGCAUUUUCACUUCCAGCACAACAACUUCCCAAUGAAGUUAGGUCCUGCAGCACUGAUAAAUCAGUCACAUCAUUCACUCUGGGCUGAGCUCUGAAAGGCUAG